rnacentral:lncRNA from 1 species
UGGACUAUGUCCUAGGAAGAGACAACUAAGUGUCCCCUCUGAGACCGGAAGACUGCUACGAAGGCAGUUUGUUCAAAGGAAGGUGCUAGAUGAGUCUUGGGCUCUGUGCUGUAGUGAUUAGUUUCAUGUUAUUAGACUGAGGCUGUUAACAAUAUAUAAAACAUUUUAAAAGAUGUAUUUAAAGACUGCUUAUAUAGAGAAAUUGGUCCCUGAAGCCAUUUGGUCCCAUGUUUCAUUCCAAGUUUAUUCAAUCACCUGUGCACAUCCUCUGUAUCCGCACAUGUGUGUUCUGUCGUGGACUGGACUCAGUCGGUCCCUCAACCCAUGGGGAACCAGGGCCCCAGUAUGCAGGUGGGCAAGAAGUCAGUGUAAAGUGACAGACACUGACACAGAGAGAGUGCUGUAUCUGAAUGUAAUUUCUCAAAGCAAACAUCAGACUUACAGUAUAGAAGAGAACAAAAAGUUAGGUGACAUAUCAGCCAAGGUACAUUGAAGUUAUUUGACAUAAAACAGAAAUGCAUACAUAAAGACUGACAGGAACCAGGCAGUGUUUACAACUGAGAUAAGAUCAGUCCUAUCUAAAGUCAGAUAUUGACAGAAGCCAGGUAAAAGGGCUAAUAUGCCUAGGUGCAAUUCUGGUGUAUUGUAUAACCCAGCACCAGGGGGUUUCCACUCUUGCUAACCUUUUCAUGAAUAAUACAAUACUUUAGUUCCUCCUUAAACCAUAACCCUCCUUCUUUCUACUACUAUGUAAUGUAGGCUGCCAUUCAUGUUUGUAAUGAGAAUUCUAAGUUUACUAUUUUGAACUAGCCCUGAGAUUUCUAGCUCCUAUCCAGUAAAAUACUGCAAGAGAGCAUGCAAGACCUUCCACACUAUUACAGGGACAAAUCUGGUUAUGGGGCACCAGAGACUCUCCAGGAGACAAGUUUCCAUGAAACUUUUUGUCUCAGGACUGCGGCCAAGCUUUUGGGCUUGCCAUGCAGACUCCACUGGAGUGGGUGUGUCAUGUUUCUCCCAUUUGUCGAUAGUCAUCCUUGUUAGAACCCUAAUCCCCAUUACAUCGUACCUUGCUUACUCCUCUGUUGGCACAGCUCACAGUAAUAGCAUACAGAUAACAUAUACAGGUAACAUACAUUUGGCAUGAGCAAGACUAAGUAAAUCACAUAUGUAGGCUGUCUACAUUGAAUGCUUCUAGGAAUUAACAGUAGCUGUCAUAAUGUGGCAGCAGAAAAAAACCCAGAGUGGGCAAAUCUGUUGACCCAUGGUUGGAAAGCUUAGCUUCUGAACACAGUAUAAAGCUCUACAGAUGAUAAUAAGAAUAUUAAAUAUAUCCUAAAAUACCCUUGCUACCUCCAUAUGUGAGAGAAAAUUAAGGGUUAUUUGUAAUUCUUAAAUGACAUAAUUAUACUUCGCCAGUUUCUGAAUGUGAUAUGUCGUAGUCAGUAAGGAGCCUGGGUUACCAGGAUAUUUUUAUGUUUUUAAGUUAUC